AAUAUUGCACUGUAAUCUUUACUCGUUGAUAGAUCAUGAACUACUGAGCAAUUUCUAAACAUAUGAACAGAGUGUGUUAUCAUUUCGACCUUAACAUUGUAGUAUCGGGGA